CCUACGGGUGGCAGCAGUGGGGAAUAUUGGGCAAUGGGCGAAAGCCUGACCCAGCAACGCCGCGUGAAGGAAGAAGGCUUUCGGGUUGUAAACUUCUUUUGACAGGGAAGAGCAGAAGACGGUACCUGUCGAAUAAGCCACGGCUAACUACGUGCCAGCAGCUGCGGGAAUACGUAGGUGGCAAGCGGUGUCCGGAUUUACUGGGUGUAAAGGGCGUGGAGCCGGGCUGACAAGUCAGAUGUGAAAUCCGGGGGGUCAACCCCCGAACUGCAUUUGAAACUGGUGGUCUUGAGUAUCGGAGAGGCAGGCGGAAUUCGUGGUGUAGCGGUGAAAUGCGUAGAUAUAUGGAAGAACACC
rnacentral:rRNA from 1 species